GGAGAUAGCUGGUUCUCCCCGAAAGCUAUUUAGGUAGCGCCUCGUGAAUUCAUCUCCGGGGGUAGAGCACUGUUUCGGCAAGGGGGUCAUCCCGACUUACCAACCCGAUGCAAACUGCGAAUACCGGAGAAUGUUAUCACGGGAGACACACGGCGGGUGCUAACGUCCGUCGUGAAGAGGGAAACAACCCAGACCGCCAGCUAAGGUCCCAAAGUCAUGGUUAAGUGGGAAACGAUGUGGGAAGGCCCAGACAGCCAGGAUGUUGGCUUAGAAGCAGCCAUCAUUUAAAGAAAGCGUAAUAGCUCACUGGUCGAGUCGGCCUGCGCGGAAGAUGUAACGGGGCUAAACCAUGCACCGAAGCUGCGGCAGCGACACUAUGUGUUGUUGGGUAGGGGAGCGUUCUGUAAGCCUGUGAAGGUGUACUGUGAGGUAUGCUGGAGGUAUCAGAAGUGCGAAUGCUGACAUAAGUAACGAUAAAGCGGGUGAAAAGCCCGCUCGCCGGAAGACCAAGGGUUCCUGUCCAACGUUAAUCGGGGCAGGGUGAGUCGACCCCUAAGGCGAGGCCGAAAGGCGUAGUCGAUGGGAAACAGGUUAAUAUUCCUGUACUUGGUGUUACUGCGAAGGGGGGACGGAGAAGGCUAUGUUGGCCGGGCGACGGUUGUCCCGGUUUAAGCGUGUAGGCUGAUUUUCCAGGCAAAUCCGGAAAAUCAAGGCUGAGGCGUGAUGACGAGGCACUACGGUGCUGAAGCAACAAAUGCCCUGCUUCCAGGAAAAGCCUCUAAGCAUCAGGUAACAUCAAAUCGUACCCCAAACCGACACAGGUGGUCAGGUAGAGAAUACCAAGGCGCUUGAGAGAACUCGGGUGAAGGAACUAGGCAAAAUGGUGCCGUAACUUCGGGAGAAGGCACGCUGAUAUGUAGGUGAAGCGACUUGCUCGUGGAGCUGAAAUCAGUCGAAGAUACCAGCUGGCUGCAACUGUUUAUUAAAAACACAGCACUGUGCAAACACGAAAGUGGACGUAUACGGUGUGACGCCUGCCCGGUGCCGGAAGGUUAAUUGAUGGGGUUAGCGGUAACGCGAAGCUCUUGAUCGAAGCCCCGGUAAACGGCGGCCGUAACUAUAACGGUCCUAAGGUAGCGAAAUUCCUUGUCGGGUAAGUUCCGACCUGCACGAAUGGCGUAAUGAUGGCCAGGCUGUCUCCACCCGAGACUCAGUGAAAUUGAACUCGCUGUGAAGAUGCAGUGUACCCGCGGCAAGACGGAAAGACCCCGUGAACCUUUACUAUAGCUUGACACUGAACAUUGAGCCUUGAUGUGUAGGAUAGGUGGGAGGCUUUGAAGUGUGGACGCCAGUCUGCAUGGAGCCGACCUUGAAAUACCACCCUUUAAUGUUUGAUGUUCUAACGUUGGCCCGUUAUCCGGGUUGCGGACAGUGUCUGGUGGGUAGUUUGACUGGGGCGGUCUCCUCCUAAAGAGUAACGGAGGAGCACGAAGGUUGGCUAAUCCUGGUCGGACAUCAGGAGGUUAGUGCAAUGGCAUAAGCCAGCUUGACUGCGAGCGUGACGGCGCGAGCAGGUGCGAAAGCAGGUCAUAGUGAUCCGGUGGUUCUGAAUGGAAGGGCCAUCGCUCAACGGAUAAAAGGUACUCCGGGGAUAACAGGCUGAUACCGCCCAAGAGUUCAUAUCGACGGCGGUGUUUGGCACCUCGAUGUCGGCUCAUCACAUCCUGGGGCUGAAGUAGGUCCCAAGGGUAUGGCUGUUCGCCAUUUAAAGUGGUACGCGAGCUGGGUUUAGAACGUCGUGAGACAGUUCGGUCCCUAUCUGCCGUGGGCGCUGGAGAACUGAGGGGGGCUGCUCCUAGUACGAGAGGACCGGAGUGGACGCAUCACUGGUGUUCGGGUUGUCAUGCCAAUGGCACUGCCCGGUAGCUAAAUGCGGAAGAGAUAAGUGCUGAAAGCAUCUAAGCACGAAACUUGCCCCG
rnacentral:rRNA from 1 species